UACGGAGGGUGCGAGCGUUGUCCGGAAUCACUGGGCGUAAAGGGCGCGUAGGUGGCUCGUGAAGCGUGCGGUGAAAGUCCGAGGCUCAACCUCGGAUCGGCCGUGCGGACUCGCGGGCUCGAGCGUUGUAGAGGCGGGUGGAAUUCCGGGUGUAGCGGUGGAAUGCGUAGAUAUCGGGAGGAACACCUGUGGCGAAGGCGGCCCCCUGGUUGGAUACUGACGCUGAGUACGCGAAAGCGGUGGGGAGCAAACAGG
rnacentral:rRNA from 1 species